rnacentral:rRNA from 1 species
AUACGUAGGGUGCGAGCGUUGUCCGGAAUUACUGGGCGUAAAGAGCUCGUAGGUGGUUUGUCGCGUCGUCUGUGAAAUUCCGGGGCUUAACUCCGGGCGUGCAGGCGAUACGGGCAUAACUUGAGUACUGUAGGGGAGACUGGAAUUCCUGGUGUAGCGGUGACAUGCGCAGAUAUCAGGAGGAACACCGGUGGCGAAGGCGGGUCUCUGGGCAGUAACUGACGCUGAGGAGCGAAAGCAUGGGUAGCGAACAGGAUUAGAUACCCUGGUAGUCCAUGCCGUAAACGGUGGGCGCUAGGUGUAGGGGUCUUCCACGACUUCUGUGCCGUAGCUAACGCAUUAAGCGCCCCGCCUGGGGAGUACGGCCGCAAGGCUAAAACUCAAAUGAAUUGACGGGG